rnacentral:rRNA from 1 species
UACGGAGGGUGCAAGCGUUAAUCGGAAUUACUGGGCGUAAAGCGCACGCAGGUGGCUGAGAAAGUCGAUUGUGAAAGCCCUGGGCUUAACCUGGGAAUUGCAGUCGAAACUACUCGGCUAGAGUAUGGGAGAGGGUAGUGGAAUUCCCGGUGUAGCGGUGAAAUGCGUAGAUAUCGGGAGGAACAUCAGUGGCGAAGGCGGCUACCUGGCCCAAUACUGACGCUGAGGCGCGAAAGCGUGGGGAGCAAACA